rnacentral:lncRNA from 1 species
GGGGCUGCUGGGGCUGGGGGCCGCCGCCCCCCCCGCCGCCCGCGCCGCCCCCCUGGGCCCCGCCGGGCUCCUGCUGGCCCUGCUGGGGCUGCAGGCGGGCGCCCUGCGAGCCGCCCUGCCGGGGGCGCGCCCCACGCUCUGCCUCCCGCAGCCCCCCGGGGGCCAGCUCCAGCCCUGCCCCUCUCCGCGCCGGGGGGACAACGGCAGCGCCGCCCCGCUCCUCCCCGCCGUGCCGGGGCCCAGCGCCCGCCUGCUGGCCCGCAACCUGUGGCCCCCCGACCCACCCCUCGGUGACGCCGCCGCCACCUUCGGGCUCCUGCUGGGGCUCAGCCUCCCCACGGCCUCCGGUGGGUCCGGCGGCCCUACAAGCGCCCCCUCCCCGGCCCUAUAAGCUUUAUAGGGUGGAUGUGACCCGAAAUGUGUCCCCGCAGGGGUGCUGUGGGGCUGCAGCCACGCCGGGGAGCUGCGCGACGCCGCCCGUUCCAUCCCCGCCGGCAGCAUCGGGGCCGCCGUGGGCAGCGCCUUGGGGUGCAUCCGGGACCCUAAAUGGGGAAAAGGGACCCUAAAAUGUGGAAAGGGGAGCCUAAAAUGGGGAAAAGGGGGGCCUAAAGGGGAAAAGGGGGCCCUAAAAUGGGGUUGGGGUGCCCUAAAAUGGGGGUGUUGGGGAUAAAAUGGGGGAAGGGGGCCCUGAAAUGGGGAUGGGGGCCCUAAAAUGGGAAAAAGGGACCCUAAAACAUAGAAAAGGGACCCUAAAGGGGAAAAGGGGACCCUAAAAUGGGGGUGAGGGGGGAUAAAAUGGGGGAAGGGGACUCCAAAACGUGGGAAGGGGACUCAAAAAUGUGGGAAGGGACCCCAAAAUGUGGGGGGAGGGCCCUAAAACGCUGGGGGGGACCCCGAGCUGCUUUUGUGGGGUGGGUUUUUGGGGCCGGGCGCCCGUUUUU